rnacentral:misc_RNA from 1 species
AAGUCGUAACAAGGUUUCCGUAGGUGAACCUGCGGAAGGAUCAUUACAGUGUUAGGCUUCGGCCUCAUGCACACUCCCUUGUUUAACCUCCGGUUUCUUUGGCGAUGUCAUGGACUCGUCAAACGUUAACUCUGGUAAUGUGAUACCGCCCGAGUGCGAUUGAAUUAUCAAAACUUUCAACAACGGAUCUCUUGGUUCCA